UCAACUCGGGUAGGACUACCCGCUGAACUUAAGCAUAUCAAUAAGCGGAGGA
rnacentral:rRNA from 1 species